UCUCCUGGAAACGGGUGGUAAUGCCGGAUGCUCCAGUUGAUCGCAUGGUCUUCUGGGAAAGCUUUCGCGGUAUGGGAUGGGGUCGCGUCCUAUCAGCUUGACGGCGGGGUAACGGCCCACCGUGGCUUCGACGGGUAGCCGGCCUGAGAGGGCGACCGGCCACAUUGGGACUGAGAUACGGCCCAGACUCCUACGGGAGGCAGCAGUGGGGAAUAUUGCACAAUGGGCGCAAGCCUGAUGCAGCGACGCCGCGUGAGGGAUGGAGGCCUUCGGGUUGUAAACCUCUUUUAUCGGGGAGCAAGCGUGAGUGAGUUUACCCGUUGAAUAAGCACCGGCUAACUACGUGCCAGCAGCCGCGGUAAUACGUAGGGUGCAAGCGUUAUCCGGAAUUAUUGGGCGUAAAGGGCUCGUAGGCGGUUCGUCGCGUCCGGUGUGAAAGUCCAUCGCUUAACGGUGGAUCCGCGCCGGGUACGGGCGGGCUUGAGUGCGGUAGGGGAGACUGGAAUUCCCGGUGUAACGGUGGAAUGUGUAGAUAUCG
rnacentral:rRNA from 1 species